rnacentral:misc_RNA from 1 species
UUUCGCGCGCUGGUGGCCGUGUGGCCGUGUGUGCUGUAGUUUUGACAGCUUUCAAAAACUAUCGUCGCCUUGAACAGCUCACCAAGCUUGGCUUCAGGAUGGACUUUAUAUCAGGUAUACGUCGACUUUCUGUGCAUUAUGAUGCGCGCUAUAGGCCUACCGUUCGGCUUAUACCACGCCAUCGAGCGCGAAAUGGCGAACCGCAGCGACUGGAGCGACGUGAUCGCCAUGAAGGGUGCGCGGGAAGUCUUGAGGGGAGUCAGGUACCCGAACGACGCCACCAGGCGGUCGCUGUACGCAUCCUGGCUGAGGGUGGUUGCCUCCGACAGGUGGGAGGAGUCGUUCGACCACGUCAUGCUCGAGUGCGUGGCGGCCACGCCUUCGCCGUCGGCCCCGUGGAAGCCGCUGUUCGCCAACAUAUACCGAGUCCGGGACGUGAUGGACCUGCCGUUCCCGGAUGUGCCGACGCCCGUGCUGAACCUGUUAAAGAUGCCUAGGCUGUUCGAGCGCAGGCCCGAGAGCGUGGAGCCGCUCCCUUCAUCUCCUGGAUUCGUCGACUUCCUCGCCGACCUGAUCAGGAAGAGUGACAGCUCUCGGGCUGCCCUGAACGAGGCUGGCCUCAUCAUCGGCUUCUACAGCCUGGCGCUGUCCUUAGUCGUAGCCUUGCCCGUGAGGGAAGUGCAGGACUUCUUCCGGACACGGAUGAAGAGGGCGCUGGCCGCGGCUGUGCCAACGUCAUUCGACGGAGAUGCUUUCUGCGCCAACGGCAGGUUCCUGACCGAACUGGCCCGCAAGACGUUUUCUGAAAAGGGAGAGGUGAAGCCUUACCUCGUGCUCCUGGUUCUUGGCCAGUAUGCCUACCACGUUCACGCCAGGGAGGCGCCGCCCAGCGCCGACGUGAGCUUCCUGGAGGAAGGUUUUCUCACGGCAGCCAAGUUCGGCCAGUUGAAGAUAAUACGACUCCUGUACCACGUACAAGAGAAGACUGCACUGAGCGCCAAGGUGCUCAACCGCAUCCUACGGGACAGCGGCUCGGAAGAAGUAGCCCUAUCCAGCCAACGCGUGCGCGAGUUCCUGGAAGGCGCCGACGAAGAGAUGCAGAAAACGAGGCCGUGGUGCCGAGCGGCCAGCGUUUGCUUCUUCGUGCACCUCAACGUGGAGGAUCACCUCGACUACGUCAUGAGGCUCACGGCGUUCCUGGCCCCGGAUCCCAACGACCUCAUGUGGCAGUGUCCGGAGUUUGCCGACGUGCCGGCGUCUCGCAUGAAGGACGCUCGCCUUUGGGCCCGCAACUUCAAACGGGCUUUGCGCAAAGGAAAGUACGGCACUGCCGUUAGGCUGGACCAGUUGUAACCAGUUGCUGUACGCGGUGUGAGAAACCGCCGUUAAUGCUGCGCUGCCUUUCCAGACGAGAAAGUUUCAUUUCCAGGUGGAUUGUUGAGCCAGAAUCUUUCCAGCUGGGAAGACUCACGGUUCGGUAAUUCAGCUCCACGUGGAUGAAUAUCCAGCUGGAACUUCGUCAGUUCCCGACUAGUAUUCGGUUAUAUUCCAGCCGAAUAUUCAUCAACUUGCCGCUGAAUUAUAGUGUUAUAUAACCGAAUUAUCGAACCAGAAAUAUUUCGAGCUAGAAAGGUUCAAUAAUCGAGCUGGAAAUAGAAAUUUUUCCAUCUGGGAUCAGGUGUCCCUCGUGGUCACAUCGUUUCACUGCCAAACCUAGCAUCGAGGGUAUGCUGGAAUAUUUUCAUGUUUCUUCCAUCCUAAUGCGCAGCCCUUAUUAUAGCGUGUUCGUGGCGAUUGAAGCCGUCGUUAUGCCAAGCCAAGCAUCAAGAGCAUGCCGCAAUGUUUCGCAUCGAUGAAGCAUUGCUUUGUGCUAUAUGCCUUCCACGUAACCCAGGUGUAAAGUUAUAUGGCUUUAUCAUAUAUAUGCCUUCCAUGUAAGCCAUGUUUGGGUAUUCCAAUGGCACUGCCAAGUGCACGUCCAGAACACAUUGUCGAACCUUUCGCGUUGAGAAUUAGGCGCUGAAAGUCUUUAGCCGCGUUUCGCCAAAAUAUUUCGCCAUAAGC